AAUGAACGCUGGCGGCGUGGAUAAGACAUGCAAGUCGAACGGAGAUAAUCAUUAGUUUACUAAAGAUUGUCUUAGUGGCGGACGGGUUAGUAACACGUGAGCAACUUACCUCAAAGUGGGGGAUAGCCUUCCGAAAGGGAGAUUAAUACCGCAUGUGACCUACGGGUCAAAGAUGGCUUCGGCUAUCGCUUUGAGAUAGGCUCGCGUCCUAUCAGUUAGUUGGUGAGGUAAUGGCUCACCAAGACUACGACGGGUAGCUGUUCUGAGAGGAAGAUCAGCAACACUGGAACUGAGACACGGUCCAGACACCUACGGGUGGCAGCAGUCGAGAAUCAUUCACAAUGGACGCAAGUCUGAUGGUGCAACGCCGCGUGGAGGAUGAAGGCCCUAGGGUCGUAAACUCCUGUCAUAGCAGAGUAAGGCAUGUUAGUUAAUAGCUAGCAUGUUUGAUAGUAUGCUAAGAGGAAGGGACGGCUAACUUCG
rnacentral:rRNA from 1 species